rnacentral:rRNA from 1 species
AAGUGGAGCAAUCCAUGAGUAAAGUGGCGACCGGGUGAGUAACAUGUGACUAACCUACCUUCGAGUGGGGAAUAACCUCGGGAAUCCGGGGCUAAUACCGCAUAAUGUCUUCGGUCCAAAGGAGCAAUUCGUUGGAAGAGGGGGUCGCGGCCGAUUAUCUAGUUGGCGGGGUAACGGCCCACCAAGGCAAUGAUCGGUAGCCGGCCUGAGAGGGCGCACGGCCACACUGGAACUGAAACACGGUCCAGACUCCUACGGGAGGCAGCAGUGGGGAAUUUUGCGCAAUGGGGGAAACCCUGACGCAGCAACGCCGCGUGGAGGAUGAAGCCCCUUGGG